CCAAUAUGAACGUUCUCGCGGGCUGCAUCAAGGUGGGCCGUGCGUUGAGAGAGCGCACUGUUACAAAAUCCUUCAUAGCUCUCGAUAGAAACAUAAAUGAAAAAUUAUCAAUACACAUCAAUACUGGGGUGUGAGCUAGUGGCAUCGGGAAUGGAAUGUUGCUACAGGAAGCGGAACACAACUUGAGAGUCACCAAUAACAGCACCCCUUUUCUAGAGAAUAAUUCUUCACUAGUGGGAUAUUUCAUCUUACUACACUGAGUAUAAUUUUCACGCGUUUCAUCCGGUUCGAAGGACCAUAAUUAUGUUGGUGACGCUACCAACAUAAGGGCUGAAGACAUAUUUGGGUGCAACGGGAACGGCCAGUUGGCACUUCACAUCGAUGAAUUCCCCUGGCGCCGCUUCCUUAUACGACGAGAGAAUCCAAGCUUUCAAUACUGGGUAAAUUCCCCUGGCGCCGCUUCCACAAUGCGACGAGAGAAUUCUAGCUGGAUGGAGACAAAACCAGGCGGAACAGGAAUGUUCGGGAUCCAACUAGUCCAAUGAACAAUUGGAAACUGAAUGACUGAUUGAGAACAGGACGCUUGUAUUUAUACCUGAACUGCUGCUUCGGCGAACUGAAUGGCUGACGCUGAUUGGCCCACCAAUCAACGCUCAGGAUGGCGUCAUCGGUGUGUGGCGUGCUGCGGCAUGUUGGUGCGUGCGCAUCCUUUUUCUUUCUCUUUCUCACUCGUUCGUGGCGUCGCUAGCAAAUUACGCAGUUUGCUGGGUUCGAGAUGUUUCGCUGAGCGGUGUGUCGGGCUGGUCAGAGAAUAUUCUGGUCGGAGAACAUUCUGGUUGAAGCAAAUCUUCGCUAUCGCGAACACAAUGAAUAUAAAAAAUUACUUAAUUUUUACUAUGAAAUAAUUAAAUUUAAAUUAAUAGUUAAAAAGUUAUAUGACGACAUAAGACAAUUUAAAUUAAUGGUUAGAUGACAACAUAAGACAAUUCAAAUUAUUGGUUAGAUGGCAACAUAAGAAAAUUUAAAUUAAUAGUUGAGGUAUUUGGGUUUGUAAGUAACUUUUAAUGUUAGAUUUAAAUGAUAAACGGUUAGUUAUGAUCUGUAAAUCUCUAGGUAGGUUGUUAUAUUUUGCAGGGCCUAUGAAAGAAAAUCGUUUCAGGUCAAAGUUUGAAUAUGUGCGAGAUCGUGAGAGAUAAUUAAUUUGCCUGGUGUUGUACAGCCGAGGUAUUACGUUUAUGAUUAAGUUGUGGAUACUUGUUGGGUUGUGUAGCACAUUGUGCAUCAAAAGCAAUGUCUGCUCUUCACACAUGCCUUGAAUAGGUAGGAUUUUAUGAGGAAAAUAUGUGAAUAACCUUACCGAUGAAAACAGAAACGGUAAGUUAUAUAUUAUUUUAAUACAUCGGUUUUGUAAAAUUUGCAGUUUUUUAAGUUUUGAUUUACAGGCUCGACCCCAUGCAAUAAUUAGAUAGUUUAGCUGAGAGUGAAUGUGAGCAAAGUAGAACAUAAGCAAACCCUUUCGUGGAACGAAGCUACUAACACGUUUUAAAAUGCCACACAUAGACGAAAUUUUUAUCGCAAUUUCCUUGAUAUGUUUAUCCCAAGACAAGGUACAAUCUAGAUGAACACCUAAAUAUUUAAAUGAUUCUACUUUCUCUAUAACGUAAUCGCCCAUCACUAAAAUUGGAACACUGGGAAGGAUUUUUCAUGGGGAUCGAAAGAUCAUAUAUUUAGUUUUUUGCAAGUUAAGUAGAGUAGAUUGUCGCAAAAAUAUUCCUGGAGAAUUUGUAGACCAUCAUUCAUGCUUGAAAUAAUCGAUCUUGGGUUGACAUUAGGAUAAAAUAAGGCUGUGUCAUCAGCAAAUAACCUUGGAGUUCCAGUAAGAGGAAUUUUACCAAUGUCGUUUAUGUAAAUGAGAAAGAGUAGAGGCCCAAUAUUACUCCCUUGGGGUACACCUGUGCUUAUUUGUCUUAGCGAACUUAUCUCUCCAUCAUAUGACACAAAUUCUGUUCUACUUUCCAAGUAGCUGCGGAUAAUGUCGUUUGCAACUCCUCUAAUCCCAUAAGAUUCCAAUUUUUGCAGCAAAAUACCAUGAUUUAGAGUAUCGAAAGCUUUCAAAUCUAAAAACAAGGCACCUACGCAUCGCUUAGAAUCCGUUUCCUCCAGUAUUUUGUCUACAAGUUCAGUUAUAGCUAUUGUGGUACU